GGGACUGCAGUAGAGGAACUUGUUUCCUUCUACACGGUCUGACAGGAAGUCCACGCACUGGGAACGCUGAACUGCUUCCUGUCAGACUGGGUGGAGGGAAACAAGCUCCUCUACCAUGGUCU